GACGAACGCUGGCGGCGUGCUUCACACAUGCAAGUCGAGCGGAGCGGCGAACGGGUGAGUAACGCGUGAGUAACUGCCCCCCUCUCUGGGAUAACAGUUGGAAACGGCUGCUAAUACCGGAUAGUGGGGGAUGACUCGCGUCCUAUCAGCUUGUUGGUGGGGUAGUGGCCUACAAAGGCGACGACGGGUAGCCGGCCUGAGCGGGCGACCGGCCAAAUGGGGCUGAGAUACGGCCGAAACGCCGACGGGAGGCAGCAGUGGGGAAUAGUGCACAAUGGGGGAAACCCUGAUGCAGAAACGCGGGGGCGGGAUGUCGGCCUUCGGGUUGUAAACCGCUUUCCGCCAGGACGCGGUAGUGGCAGAAGAAGCACCGGCUAACUACGUGCCAGCCGCCGCGGUAAUAC
rnacentral:rRNA from 1 species